AGGAGUCUAACAUGCGCGCGAGUCGUUGGGUCGGACACGCUCCGCUUAAACCCAUAGGCGCAAUGAAAGUGAAGGUUUCCCUCCGCGGGACCGAGGGAGGACGGAGGCCGUCGCUCGCGCGGCGGCCUCCCGCACUCCCGGGGCGUCUGAUUCCUCUUUCUGAGGGAAGGCGCACCCAGAGCGCACACGUUGGGACCCGAAAGAUGGUGAACUAUGCCUGGCCAGGACGAAGUCAGGGGAAACCCUGAUGGAGGUCCGUAGCGAUUCUGACGUGCAAAUCGAUCGUCGGAGCUGGGUAUAGGGGCGAAAGACUAAUCGAACCAUCUAGUAGCUGGUUCCCUCCGAAGUUUCCCUCAGGAUAGCUGGCUCUCGGAGUGGAGUCUCAUCCGGUAAAGCGAAUGAUUAGAGGCCUUGGGGCCGAAACGACCUCAACCUAUUCUCAAACUUUAAAUGGGUGAGAACUCCGGCUUGCUCGAUACUCUUGUGAAGCCGGAGAUGGGGCCUUCGGGCCCCGCGGAUCGGAGUGCCUAGUGGGCCACUU
rnacentral:rRNA from 1 species